rnacentral:rRNA from 1 species
UACGAAGGGGGCGAGCGUUGUUCGGAUUUACUGGGCGUAAAGGGCGCGCAGGCGGCUAUCCAAGUCAGGCGUGAAAGCCCCGGGCUUAACCUGGGAGGUGCGUCUGGGACUGGGUGGCUAGAGUUCGGGAGAGGAGAGUGGAAUUCCCAGUGUAGAGGUGAAAUUCGUAGAUAUUAGGAGGAACACCAGUUGCGAAAGCGGCUAUCUGGCCAAAUACUGACGCUGUUGCACGAAAGCGUGGGGAGCAAACAGG